rnacentral:tRNA from 1 species
UCCGACGUGCCCGGAGAUGGUAACGGCCCUGCCUGUUAAGCAGUGAGCGCGAAAGCGGACGCUGGUUCGAGCCCAGCCGUCGGAGCAA